UGUACACGCUGGUAAACUGCUCGGUGCGCUGGGCCUACAUGCUGGCCAUCGUUGGCAUCAUGGACGCCCUCAUCCUCUCCUUCCUGGCCUUCGUUUUGGGCAACCGGCAGAAUGACUUCCAGCUGGAGGAGCAGCUCAAAGUAGAACAGAAAGAUUUUGCAGUGUCCAGGCAUUUCCACCUUGGCUCCACUCUCAAGAUGGACAGAAUUGAAAUCCGGGAGAUCAAGGAUCCACGAUAUGGUGUCCAACUGUUCCACUGAGCAUCCCCCCCAACCUUCCCCUCCUCUCCUUCCUCUCUUCUGCUCGUCACCUCAGCUCUUCAGGUCCAACCAUCGGUCUUGAAGUGGAGGCUCCAUCCAGCUGUUUGUAAAAAUAGAAAUGAAAUGGAAGAGAAAAUAUGUCUGUUUGAAGAGAACUACGAUAAAAAUUAAUAAUAUUAUCAGCUUUAUAAAACUCUGGGAAAAUAAUAAAUGAUAUACAGUAUUAAUUAAUUAUCACAUAUUACUGUAACAAAGGUAAUUAAGUUAUUGAUGAUGAUAAUGCUUGCGGCAGGCGUAUUAUAUGAAAAUCUACAUUUUUAUCCAGACAGAUUUUCAUCUUCCCCUCUUUGUAUAUGAAGUCUGGUUCCAAGAAAUACACAAGAAAAGGUGUUUCUAUGGAAACAGGGUAAAAAUACUCAUAGCAAGUAUUACCCCAUUAUUAUCAUCCCUCCAAACCCUUUGGAAUAGCAACCUCUUUUUGAUCAGCAUCUUGGAAAAAUGUGGAUUAUCGGCAUAAUUUAUUCUCUUCCCUCCGUGUAAUUUCAUCGACCAACAUCCCAGAGCCAACAAAAGUCAUCAGGGGCAAGGACAGUGGUAAUGAUGGACCGAAUUAAUUGACAGGCAUUGAAAAGAAACAAGACCUAACUGCUCUCAGCUUUUCCAUUCUACUGAAUUUCGACCACAUAAUUGUUUUGGGCCCAUUUCUCUUACCGUCAUGUUCCAAUGGUUCUGUUUGUUCGUCCCACCAAAAGACAAAGCCCUGUAUGCUGCAUCUAACUCAGGCUUGCAAAAACGGCUUACAGUACUCUUAUGGUCUGGAGGCAACACGCUCCAUGCCUUAGACACAACAAGCUCCAUGCCUUAGACACAACAAGCUCCAUGACCUAGACACAACAAGCUCCAUGCCUUAGACACAACAAGCUCCAUGACCUAGACACAACAAGCUCCAUGACCUAGACACAACAAGCUCCAUACCUUAGACACAACAAGCUCCAUACCUUAGACACAACAAGCUCCAUACCUUAGACACAACAAGCUCCAUACCUUAGACACAACAAGCUCCAUGACCUAGACACAACAAGCUCCAUGGCCUAGACACAACAAGCUCCAUGGCCUAGACACAACAAGCUCCAUGACCUAGACACAACAAGCUCCAUGACCUAGACACAACAAGCUCCAUGACCUAGACACAACAAGCUCCAUACCUUAGACACAACAAGCUCCAUGACCUAGACACAACAAGCUCCAUGACCUAGACACAACAAGCUCCAUGGCCUAGACACAACAAGCUCCAUGACCUAGACACAACAAGCUCCAUGACCUAGACACAACAAGCUCCAUGACCUAGACACAACAAGCUCCAUACCUUAGACACAACAAGCUCCAUGACCUAGACACAACAAGCUCCAUGACCUAGACACAACAAGCUCCAUGACCUAGACACAACAAGCUCCAUGACCUAAACACAACAAGCUCCAUGACCUAGACACAACAAGCUCCAUGACCUAAACACAACAAGCUCUAUGCCUUAGAAACAACAAGCUCCAUACCUUAGACACAACAAGCUCCAUAGCAGUGUGGCCGCCAUUGAAAAAAUAGGAAAAAUAAGACUGAAUUAUGUUUUAUUUAAAAAUAUAUAAUUUUCAGGAUGGUAAAAAGUACUGUGUAAAUGUAAAUGACUAAAAGCAGAUAUAACAGAUGUAGAAAAGAUAAUGGAGAAUAUAUUUUUUUAUUAUCUAUGAGAACUAACAAUCACCUAAAUAAAAACUAUGGCGUGGGGCCACAUUGAUUUCGUUUGAGUCACUCAGAUAGCAUAAAAACACAGCAUAAUCAAUGGGAAAAUGUGUAGAACUACAUGAAAUUAGCUUUAAAACAGCAAAUUUCCUCUCAGCCCCAUGACAAAAUGUGUAUAAUUGCAUGAAAUUAGCUAUAAAACAGCAAAAGAGGCCCUCCUUUUAGAGGCCCUCCUAUUGUCUCUGCAGCCAAGAGGAGGGCCUCUAAAACCGUGCCAUUGUCUACACCCACAUUAGGUCAUGUUAGUAUUGUGGAUGCAGAUCUGAGUAUUCUCCCAGGGAGAUAAUUAAGAAUAUAUUAAUACUAUUCAACCUGUGUAGACUAGAGUAAAUUAGAGAAGAGUGUAUGUUAGUUGCUGAUACCUCAGAUGCCCAGAGAUUUUGCCCCACACUUUUCACAGAUCUUCUUACUGUAAGGCUUAGCUGCAGUCAUAGGACAUACAGACAGUUGUAGGUCCUCCCUGAAUUCUAAUCUUAAUUCUGCACCAACAUCGCACACGGUGGUUGAUUGACUCCAAAUUUUGACAAAUGAGAGCUCACCAUUUUGGGAUAUCAGAUCCCAUUUUCCGAUCCCAGAUCCCAUUUUUGGAUCUCCGAUCAAAUAAAUCCUGGAUAUCCCAGGGUU
rnacentral:lncRNA from 1 species